GCGAGAUUGGCUCAGUCGGUAGAGCGUGAGUCUCAUAAUCUCAAGGUCGUGAGUUCGAUCCUCACAUCUCGCA
rfam:Spizellomyces punctatus DAOM BR117 chromosome Tnknown supercont1.8, whole genome shotgun sequence.